CAAGUUGGGGGAGCCGGGAGUGUCGCUCGGUGGGGAGAGGGCUCGUCUAGCGUGUAUGUGAAGCUCUGGGUUUGAUCUCCAGCACUCCAUUAUCAGCGGGGCGUGAUGAUGCACACUUGUGGUCCAGCACUCAGCACGGGGAGGCAGAAGGUUAGAAGUUCAAGACCAUCCUCUGACACAUAGUGAUUUUGAGGCCAGUCUCAGUUGAAAGAAAAAGAUGUCACAUACCGCACCCUGCUCUGUGGUCACACUGUGACACCUCAGCAGCACCUCAGAAAUAGAAGCAGCAUUGGAACAGUCUCCUGGAUGGGAAAGUUUUACCAGCUGUUCCUGAGCAGCACACUGUGGGGCUUUCCAGGAUCUCUCAUCUUCCCUCAUACCCCUGAGCACCAGAGAGAACGAGCGGCUUAUAGGGGUCCGGAUUCAUUUCCCAGCACCUACAUGGUGGGCUAGCAGCAUCCGUAACUACAAUUCGAGGUGAUCCAUCACCCUCUUCUGACCUGUGCAGGCACUACAUGCAUGUGGCUGCCAUACAUACUGCAGGUAAAGCAUUCAUAUACACACAAAUCAUGCUUCAAGAAGUGGUUUUAAAAGGAAGUGUGUGUGUGUGUGUGCGUUGUGUGUGCAUGCGUGUGUGCAAAUGACCCCAAGGGAGCAGGCCAGGAGGCAGGAAUGUCUGGUCGCGGGGAAGCUGUUGUGGGGAAAGUUGUCUGCACAUGGCAGAUCCUACCCAUGAGGAGGAAAGUUCCAGACUGGCACACAGCAGACGUAAGAAGAAAAUUCCCAUGCCCCACCCAGUUGGAGACUCACCUUCCAGACACUGGUACUGCACCCACAGGUAGCUGCCCUGGGUGGGGCACACGUCUCCAAAGUAGGUCCCAUCUGCUGCUACCUGGCAUGCCUGCAGCCCCUGACACUGGCCUGGGAGGCAUCCACAGUGCACGAAGAUAGGAACGGUGUGGGAGACAAGAGAAUUGCAUGGAGAUAGGAGACAAGAGGACAUAAACUCAGCAGAGCAUCACAGGUUGACCUUAAUCUUUGACCUCAAACAACCCUCUCGUCACCACUGCCUGAGUUGCUGGGACUGUCGGCAUAGGCCACUGCACCCAACUCAAAACGACAGGUAGGGGAUCAGAAGCCUUCCUGCCCCAGGAGCUGGUUUGAUGACUGUGGUAGACCUGCCUCAAAGUCCUGUUCAAGAACUUGGUGCCAUGGGCAGAGACUAACUGGCUUCCCCUCGUGAAGGAGGCCUGGGCCAUAUCUGAAGAACAUCAGACCCUUCCGGGGACCGUUUGACAUGUAUAGAAGACCAGCAACUGUUCUCUGCU